GCUCAGGACGAACGCUGGCGGCGUGCCUAAUACAUGCAAGUCGAGCGGACAGAAGGGAGCUUGCUCCCGGAUGUUAGCGGCGGACGGGUGAGUAACACGUGGGUAACCUGCCUGUAAGACUGGGAUAACUCCGGGAAACCGGAGCUAAUACCGGAUAGUUCCUUGAACCGCAUGGUUCAAGGAUGAAAGACGGUUUCGGCUGUCACUUACAGAUGGACCCGCGGCGCAUUAGCUAGUUGGUGGGGUAAUGGCUCACCAAGGCGACGAUGCGUAGCCGACCUGAGAGGGUGAUCGGCCACACUGGGACUGAGACACGGCCCAGACUCCUACGGGAGGCAGCAGUAGGGAAUCUUCCGCAAUGGACGAAAGUCUGACGGAGCAACGCCGCGUGAGUGAUGAAGGUUUUCGGAUCGUAAAGCUCUGUUGUUAGGGAAGAACAAGUGCGAGAGUAACUGCUCGCACCUGACGGUAC
rnacentral:rRNA from 1 species